rnacentral:misc_RNA from 1 species
GCUGAAACCAUUGCUUGUUCUCCAUAUCAUAAACAACGACGUCGCUUAGAAAUUUCUUGUCGAUGAGACCACCGAAGACGACCACCUUCGACUUUCCGACGACAACAGCACUGUGACCACUGCGAGGUUGGGGAAGAGGUCCACUGAAAUCAGAGGAAGAAGCUUGAACCCAGUAAUGCAUUUUUUACGCCUGGCCUCGCAAUUGGCUCUGAGUCCUCGCUUUCUUGGAUGUAAGUCCGUCUGGACUUUCAAGUGUG